UACGAAGGGGGCUAGCGUUGUUCGGAUUUACUGGGCGUAAAGCGCACGUAGGCGGAUUGUUAAGUCAGGGGUGAAAUCCUGGAGCUCAACUCCAGAACUGCCUUUGAUACUGGCAAUCUUGAGUCCGGAAGAGGUGAGUGGAACUCCUAGUGUAGAGGUGAAAUGCGCAGAUAUCAGGAAGAACACCCGUGGCGAAGGCGGCUCUCUGGGACGGUACUGACGCUGAGACGCGAAAGCGUGGGGAGCGAACAGG
rnacentral:rRNA from 1 species